CGGCCUCCCGCUUCCGGCCUGAGCCCGAACCUAGCCUCCUGGAUUCGGCAUGCUGCAGCUGCAACGUCUUGAACCCCGGGGCAGCCUUCUGGAGGGGUGAGCGGAGCUGGCUCUGCUGGCUAACAGGGCACGGCGCCUGGGAUGCGCAAUGGUAUUUCCAGUAUGAAUUCCCACCAGCAGUGCAUGAGAGUUCUGAAAUCCCUACAUUCUUUCUACACUUACGGUCCACUCUAACAAAAAUGGUAUUAUGCCGUAUGAAUUGUUCCACACCUUGCUUUAAAACACCACCACCACCACCACUACCAACAAGUAACUACUUAAGAUAACAUUAUUUGGACUUCAUUUCAGGACCAGGGAUUGAACCAGGCCGUGGCAGUGAAAGUGCCGAGUCCUAACUACUGGACCACCAGGGAACUCCCAUGGACAUUUUAGCAGUACUGAUUUUUCCAGUCCACGAGCAUGCACUGUGCUCACCCCUCUGAAGCAGGUGAAGCAACCAAGGAAGAAAAGAACCAUAAAAACAAGAAAAUAACAGGCCCCGUCACCUCCAAGGUCCACAAGCGGAGAUGUCCAUCCUCAUGUGCAGUGACAAGGAUAGGUGGUUGAGUAUCUGUUAAAUUGGUGCUUUCCAGAUGUUUUUUAUCCACUGGCUGUUGCUCACCUACCGUGACAUCUUUUUGCUCACCUGUUGGAAAAUUAUAGGUAAAAAACUUUCUCGAACCGCAAUGCUGAGGGACGAUGGCCGGGGCUGCUAGCCCGUUCAGAGGUCGCGCCAUAGGGUGCUUUCCGCUCACCCUGCCUGUGGGCGACUUGAGCAACUUGUGUCUUAAGGAAGAGAAAAUCAAACCAGAUGCCAAUGGUGCUGGGGUCAACACCAAUGCUAAUGCAGAGAAGGCAGCUGAAGAAGAGAAAGAGGACAGAGCCGCCCAGUCCUUACUCAACAAGCUGAUCAGAAGCAACCUUGUUGAUAACACCAACCAAGUGGAAGUUUUGCAGCGGGAUCCAAACUCCCCACUCUACUCAGUGAAGUCCUUCGAGGAGCUUCGGCGGAAACCACAGCUUCUCCAGGGAGUCUACGCCAUGGGCUUCAACCAUCCAUCGAAGAUACAAGAGAAUGCAUUGCCUUUAAUGCUUGCUGAGCCGUACGUGUCCUGAUGCAAUUCUAUCUCAUUUUUAACCUCCCAUGUUUUUUUUAACUUUUAUUAUUUUAAAAAACUAUACUAGUAAUACAUGCUCAUUUUAGAAAAGUUAGAAAACAGUGAAAAAUAAGAAAAAAGAAAUAAUUUGUAAUCUCCCUCUCCCCUACACUAUUAAUAUUUGGAGUAGAGACUUCUAGAUGUUUUUCUAUGUAAACUUGCAUAUGUAUACUUUUUUCUUAAAGGAAACAUAUAAAAUGUUUAAAUGUUUUUUUGAUACGAUAAUUACAUAAUAAUAUUUCUAUGUUGGUAAAGACAUUUAUAUCAUUUAUAUACACCAUGAUUUCAUUAUAUGGAUAAGUAAAAUAUAUGUGUCAAAUGUAGAAGACAAAAACCAAACAGGGUUCUAGGAGAUCAGAAUAGUACAAUUGCUAAGGUCGUUUUCUGGUGCAGUGCUUCUUACUCUUUCAUAGGCAUUUGAAUUUCAUAGGAAUUUAUUAAAAUGCAGAUUCUGAUUUCAGUAAGUCUGAGGUGGGGACUGAGGUUCACCAUUUCUAGUAAGCUUCCCGGUGUUGCUGGUGCUGCUGGUAUCAGACCACAUUUUGAGGAACAAGGUUCUAGAGCAUGAGAACUUUUUAUAAAAACUGAUCCCUACAUCACAUAUGAUUAUCUAAAUUUGUACUGCAUAUAAUCCUAAAUCCCCCUUUCCCUAUUUGUCUGAAAAUAGAUACUUUAGGUUUGUAUUUUCUCAAAGUUUUUUUUUGUUCUGUGUCAUAAUGUAUUUUUCAA